CCUACGGGUGGCAGCAGUGGGGAAUAUUGGGCAAUGGGCGCAAGCCUGACCCAGCAACGCCGCGUGAAGGAAGAAGGCUUUCGGGUUGUAAACUUCUUUUGUCAGGGACGAAGCAAGUGACGGUACCUGACGAAUAAGCCACGGCUAACUACGUGCCAGCAGCCGCGGUAAUACGUAGGUGGCAAGCGUUAUCCGGAUUUAUUCGGGGUAAAGGGCGAGUAGGCUGGAAUGCAUGUCAGAUGGGAACACUAUGUGCUCAACCCAUAGCCUGCAUUUGAAACGUUAUUUCUUGAGUGCUGGAGAGGCAAGCGGAAUUCCGUGUGUAGCGGUGAAAUGCGGAGAUAUACGGAGGAACACCAGUGGCGAAGGCGGAUUGCUGGACAGUAACUGACGCUGAGGCGCGAAAGCGUGGGGAGCAAACAGGAUUAGAUACCCCAGUAGUC
rnacentral:rRNA from 1 species